GAGUUUGAUCAUGGCUCAGAUUGAACGCUGGCGGCAUGCCUUACACAUGCAAGUCGAACGGCAGCACGGGAGCUUGCUCCUGGUGGCGAGUGGCGAACGGGUGAGUAAUGCAUCGGAACGUAUCCUGGAGUGGGGGAUAACGUAGCGAAAGUUACGCUAAUACCGCAUAUUCUGUGAGCAGGAAAGCGGGGGACCUUCGGGCCUCGCGCUCUUGGAGCGGCCGAUGUCGGAUUAGCUAGUUGGUGAGGUAAAGGCUCACCAAGGCGACGAUCCGUAGCAGGUCUGAGAGGAUGAUCUGCCACACUGGAACUGAGACACGGUCCAGACUCCUACGGGAGGCAGCAGUGGGAAUUUUGGACAAUGGGGGCAACCCUGAUCCAGCCAUGCCGCGUGAGUGAAGAAGGCCUCGGUGUAAG
rnacentral:rRNA from 1 species